rnacentral:rRNA from 1 species
GCGAUACAGGGUGACAGCCCCGUACACAAAAAUGCACAUACUGUGAGCUCGAUGAGUAGGGCGGGACACGUGGUAUCCUGUCUGAAUAUGGGGGGACCAUCCUCCAAGGCUAAAUACUCCUGACUGACCGAUAGUGAACCAGUACCGUGAGGGAAAGGCGAAAAGAACCCCGGCGAGGGGAGUGAAAAAGAACCUGAAACCGUGUACGUACAAGCAGUGGGAGCCUCUUAAUGGGGUGACUGCGUACCUUUUGUAUAAUGGGUCAGCGACUUAUAUUCUGUAGCAAGGUUAACCGAAUAGGGGAGCCGAAGGGAAACCGAGUCUUAACUGGGCGUUAAGUUGCAGGGUAUAGACCCGAAACCCGGUGAUCUAGCCAUGGGCAGGUUGAAGGUUGGGUAACACUAACUGGAGGACCGAACCGACUAAUGUUGAAAAAUUAGCGGAUGACUUGUGGCUGGGGGUGAAAGGCCAAUCAAACCGGGAGAUAGCUGGUUCUCCCCGAAAGCUAUUUAGGUAGCGCCUCGUGAAUUCAUCUCCGGGGGUAGAGCACUGUUUCGGCAAGGGGGUCAUCCCGACUUACCAACCCGAUGCAAACUGCGAAUACCGGAGAAUGUUAUCACGGGAGACACACGGCGGGUGCUAACGUCCGUCGUGAAGAGGGAAACAACCCAGACCGCCAGCUAAGGUCCCAAAGUCAUGGUUAAGUGGGAAACGAUGUGGGAAGGCCCAGACAGCCAGGAUGUUGGCUUAGAAGCAGCCAUCAUUUAAAGAAAGCGUAAUAGCUCACUGGUCGAGUCGGCCUGCGCGGAAGAUGUAACGGGGCUAAACCAUGCACCGAAGCUGCGGCAGCGACACUAUGUGUUGUUGGGUAGGGGAGCGUUCUGUAAGCCUGUGAAGGUGUACUGUGAGGUAUGCUGGAGGUAUCAGAAGUGCGAAUGCUGACAUAAGUAACGAUAAAGCGGGUGAAAAGCCCGCUCGCCGGAAGACCAAGGGUUCCUGUCCAACGUUAAUCGGGGCAGGGUGAGUCGACCCCUAAGGCGAGGCCGAAAGGCGUAGUCGAUGGGAAACAGGUUAAUAUUCCUGUACUUGGUGUUACUGCGAAGGGGGGACGGAGAAGGCUAUGUUGGCCGGGCGACGGUUGUCCCGGUUUAAGCGUGUAGGCUGGUUUUCCAGGCAAAUCCGGAAAAUCAAGGCUGAGGCGUGAUGACGAGGCACUACGGUGCUGAAGCAACAAAUGCCCUGCUUCCAGGAAAAGCCUCUAAGCAUCAGGUAACAUCAAAUCGUACCCCAAACCGACACAGGUGGUCAGGUAGAGAAUACCAAGGCGCUUGAGAGAACUCGGGUGAAGGAACUAGGCAAAAUGGUGCCGUAACUUCGGGAGAAGGCACGCUGAUAUGUAGGUGAAGUCCCUUGCGGAUGGAGCUGAAAUCAGUCGAAGAUACCAGCUGGCUGCAACUGUUUAUUAAAAACACAGCACUGUGCAAACACGAAAGUGGACGUAUACGGUGUGACGCCUGCCCGGUGCCGGAAGGUUAAUUGAUGGGGUUAGCGGUAACGCGAAGCUCUUGAUCGAAGCCCCGGUAAACGGCGGCCGUAACUAUAACGGUCCUAAGGUAGCGAAAUUCCUUGUCGGGUAAGUUCCGACCUGCACGAAUGGCGUAAUGAUGGCCAGGCUGUCUCCACCCGAGACUCAGUGAAAUUGAACUCGCUGUGAAGAUGCAGUGUACCCGCGGCAAGACGGAAAGACCCCGUGAACCUUUACUAUAGCUUGACACUGAACAUUGAGCCUUGAUGUGUAGGAUAGGUGGGAGGCUUUGAAGUGUGGACGCCAGUCUGCAUGGAGCCGGCCUUGAAAUACCACCCUUUAAUGUUUGAUGUUCUAACGUUGGCCCCUGAUCGGGGUUGCGGACAGUGUCUGGUGGGUAGUUUGACUGGGGCGGUCUCCUCCUAAAGAGUAACGGAGGAGCACGAAGGUUGGCUAAUCCUGGUCGGACAUCAGGAGGUUAGUGCAAUGGCAUAAGCCAGCUUGACUGCGAGCGUGACGGCGCGAGCAGGUGCGAAAGCAGGUCAUAGUGAUCCGGUGGUUCUGAAUGGAAGGGCCAUCGCUCAACGGAUAAAAGGUACUCCGGGGAUAACAGGCUGAUACCGCCCAAGAGUUCAUAUCGACGGCGGUGUUUGGCACCUCGAUGUCGGCUCAUCACAUCCUGGGGCUGAAGUAGGUCCCAAGGGUAUGGCUGUUCGCCAUUUAAAGUGGUACGCGAGCUGGGUUUAGAACGUCGUGAGACAGUUCGGUCCCUAUCUGCCGUGGGCGCUGGAGAACUGAGGGGGGCUGCUCCUAGUACGAGAGGACCGGAGUGGACGCAUCACUGGUGUUCGGGUUGUCAUGCCAAUGGCACUGCCCGGUAGCUAAAUGCGGAAGAGAUAAGUGCUGAAAGCAUCUAAGCACGAAACUUGCCCCGAGAUGAGUUCUCCCUGACUCUUUAAGGGUCCUGAAGGAACGUUGAAGACGACGACGUUAAUAGGCCGGGUGUGUAAGCGCAGCGAUGCGUUGAGCUAACCGGUACUAAUGAACCGUGAGGCUUAACCUUACAACGCCGAAGGUGUUU